GAUGAACGCUGGCGGCGUGCUUAACACAUGCAAGUCGAACGGGAUCCAAGGGGUGCUUGCACUUUUUGGUGAGAGUGGCGAACGGGUGAGUAACACGUGAGUAACCUGUCCUUUUCUUUGGGAUAAGCAUUCGAAAGGGUGUUUAAUACCUUAUGUUCUGUCUGCCUCGCAUGGGGUGGGUGGGAAAGGCUUUGGCCGGAUUUGGGUGGGCUCGCGGUCUAUCAGCUUGUUGGUGGGGUGAUGGCUUACCAAGGCUUUGACGGGUAGCCGGCCUGAGAGGGUGGUCGGUCACAUUGGGACUGAGAUACGGCCCAGACACCUGCGGGAGGCAGCAGUGGGGGAUAUUGCACAAUGGGCGAAAGCCUGAUGCAGCGACGCCGCGUGGGGGAUGAAGGCCUUCGGGUUGUAAACUUCUUUUGCUCUGAACAAGGCAUGCCAGUGGGUGUGUUGAGUGUAGGGGUUGAUUAGCGCCGGCUAACUACGUG
rnacentral:rRNA from 1 species